rnacentral:rRNA from 1 species
UGGCGGACGGGUGAGUAAUGUCUGGGAAACUGCCUGAUGGAGGGGGAUAACUACUGGAAACGGUAGCUAAUACCGCAUAACGUCGCAAGACCAAAGAGGGGGACCUUCGGGCCUCUUGCCAUCGGAUGUGCCCAGAUGGGAUUAGCUAGUAGGUGGGGUAACGGCUCACCUAGGCGACGAUCCCUAGCUGGUCUGAGAGGAUGACCAGCCACACUGGAACUGAGACCCGGUCCAG